CCUACGGGAGGCAGCAGUGGGGAAUUUUGGACAAUGGGCGCAAGCCUGAUCCAGCAAUGCCGCGUGAGUGAAGAAGGCCUUCGGGUUGUAAAGCUCUUUUGUCAGGGAAGAAACGGUGGAGGCUAAUAUCCUUUGCUAAUGACGGUACCUGAAGAAUAAGCACCGGCUAACUACGUGCCAGCAGCCGCGGUAAUACGUAGGGUGCAAGCGUUAAUCGGAAUUACUGGGCGUAAAGCGUGCGCAGGCGGUUUUGUAAGUUUGUCGUGAAAUCCCCGGGCUCAACCUGGGAAUGGCGAUGAAGACUGCAAGGCUAGAAUCUGGCAGAGGGGGGUAGAAUUCCACGUGUAGCAGUGAAAUGCGUAGAGAUGUGGAGGAACACCGAUGGCGAAGGCAGCCCCCUGGGUCAAGAUUGACGCUCAUGCACGAAAGCGUGGGGAGCAAACAGGAUUAGAUACCCUGGUAGUCCACGCCCUAAACGAUGUCUACUAGUUGUCGGGUUUUAAUUAACUUGGUAACGCAGCUAACGCGUGAAGUAGACCGCCUGGGGAUACGGUCGCAAGAUUAAAACUCAAAUGAAUUGACGG
rnacentral:rRNA from 1 species